UCCGGUUUGUCACCGGCAGUCCCAUUAGAGUGCCCAACUGAAUGUAGCAACUAAUGGCAAGGGUUGCGCUCGUUGCGGGACUUAACCCAACAUCUCACGACACGAGCUGGCGACAGCCAUGCAGCACCUGUCACCGGUCCAGCCGAACUGAAGGGAUCGAUCUCUCGUUCCCGCGACCGGGAUGUCAAGGGCUGGUAAGGUUCUUCGCGUUGCUUCGAAUUGAACCACAUGCUCCACCGCUUGUGCGGGCCCCCGUCAAUUCCUUUGAGUUUCAGCCUUGCGGCCGUACUCCCCAGGCGGACGACUUCACGCGUUAGCUGCGUUACUAAGGGAUUUAACUCCCCCAACAACUAGUCGUCAUCGUUUAGGGCGUGGACUA
rnacentral:misc_RNA from 1 species